UACGGGGGGAGCAAGCGUUGUUCGGAUUUACUGGGCGUAAAGGGCGCGUAGGCGGCCACCGCAAGUCAGUUGUGAAAUCUCUGGGCUUAACCCAGAAAGGUCAACUGAUACUGCGGGGCUAGAGUGCAGAAGGGGCAACUGGAAUUCUCGGUGUAGCGGUGAAAUGCGUAGAUAUCGAGAGGAACACCUGCGGCGAAGGCGGGUUGCUGGGCUGACACUGACGCUGAAGCGCGAAAGCGUGGGGAGCGAACAGG
rnacentral:rRNA from 1 species